rnacentral:rRNA from 1 species
AUGAACGCUGGCGGCGUGCUUAAUACAUGCAAGUCGAACGAAGCACCUUGGACAGAAUCCUUCGGGAGGAAGACCAUUGUGACUGAGUGGCGGACGGGUGAGUAACGCGUGGGUAACCUGCCUCAUACAGGGGGAUAGCAGCUGGAAACGGCUGGUAAUACCGCAUAAGUGCACGGUAUCGCAUGAUACAGUGUGAAAAACUCCGGUGGUAUGAGAUGGACCCGCGUCUGAUUAGCUGGUUGGUGAGGUAACGGCCCACCAAGGCGACGAUCAGUAGCCGACCUGAGAGGGUGACCGGCCACAUUGGGACUGAGACACGGCCCAGACUCCUACGGGAGGCAGCAGUGGGGAAUAUUGCACAAUGGAGGAAACUCUGAUGCAGCGACGCCGCGUGAGUGAAGAAGUAGUUCGCUAUGUAAAGCUCUAUCAGCAGGGAAGAUAGUGACGGUACCUGACUAAGAAGCUCCGGCUAAAUACGUG